rnacentral:rRNA from 1 species
AUUGAACGCUGGCGGCAUGCCUUACACAUGCAAGUCGAACGGCAGCAUGGAGAGCUUGCUCUCUGAUGGCGAGUGGCGAACGGGUGAGUAAUGCAUCGGAACGUACCGUGUAAUGGGGGAUAACGUAGCGAAAGUUACGCUAAUACCGCAUACGACCUGAGGGUGAAAGCAGGGAAUCGCAAGACCUUGCGUGAUACGAGCGCCCGAUGGCAGAUUAGCUAGUUGGUGAGGUAAAGGCUCACCAAGGCGACGUUCUGGAGCGGGUCUGAGAGGAUGAUCCGCCACACUGGGACUGAGACACGGCCCAGACUCCUACGGGAGGCAGCAGUGGGGAAUUUUGGACAAUGGGGGCAACCCUGAUCCAGCCAUGCCGCGUGAGUGAAGAAGGCCUUCGGGUUGUAAAGCUCUUUCGGCCGGGAAGAAAUCGCACAGGCUAAUACUCUGUGUGGAUGACGGUACCGGCAUAAGAAGCACCGGCUAACUACGUGCCAGCAGCCGCGGUAA